UGGAUGUUUUGUGGAGGGAACACUUAUUACAGAAUGCUUUCACACAGGACAGUUUUCCCAGAGAAUGUUCUCUAGUUUCCUGUCUGAAUGACAAACCUGGAUACCUGGGAGCCACCUGGGCAGGCCCAGAGUGUGGCCUUUCAAAGUGCUGUCUCACCCCACUCACCACCACCCCUGGCCUUUUCCAGUUCAGGGCUUGUCUGACUCCAUUUCUGUGGAGUAAAAAUCCUCCAGUUUUGUGUCUGUGCAGCACAGGAGUAGGGAUUCCAUGUCUGUAUCAGUCAGGCAGAUUUCUGUCACAAACACUACAGAAAUCUCAGUGACUUAACAAAUAUUUUUCACUCUUGGGGCUGCAUGAUAGGACAGUGUUCCUCCCGUCCCAAGGUCCUGGCGUGAGCUCCAGGGACAGGGCUCAGAGCAGCAAUUCCCUCUCUCUUCCUUGUUGGCUGAGUCCUCAUAUUUCCUCCACCAUGAAAAUUCUGUUACAUCCUGACCAGGGUGAGUAGAUGGGGUCAGUCUCCUUUCCCUUUGCCAGCCAUUGGAUUAGGGAUGGGCCUGUCACCUGUUCCAGCUAUGAGUUAGUUAUGGGGGAGGUUGCUGGGACAUGUAUGGGAAGAGAGUCUGGAUGUGACCUCAGGAACUCUAACUCUCAUCCUGUGGCCACGGGGGAGUCUAGUGUCUGAGGAGAGAGCUGCAUGCUGAGGUGAUUGAGAAGAAGCAGGAAGAAAUCUGGGCUCUGGAUGGCACCAUGGACCUCUGCAUUACCCUGCAGCACAGCCGCCCCACCUGGGAACCCCUUGUCAGAAACUUCUUUCUGGUUAUUGGGAUUAUCAAAUGAGAUAACACCUGCUCGCAGCUCAGACCUGUGCCUGACUCACAACACGCGCUGGUGCUGGAAGGCUGGAUCCACCAGCAUUAUUCACCCCAUGCAGCAUCCAACUCUUCCUGACCAGCUGCUUAGAUGGACAGCUAAGGCCUCAGGUGGCCAUCACCACUGUAGUCUUGGGCUUGAAGACUAGUUCUUUGCUGAAGAUGUCAUACCACUGGCCAGACAUUUCACUCAGUCAACUAUGGCACCAGGUUCUGUGUUGGGUUCUGGGAAGACUGCAAGGACUAAGACCCACUCUGACGGGAGAGACAAGAUGAACCAACCCUUCUCCAGUCUCAGUCCUUAUGGCUUGGGUGGAGCUGACCCCAUCUCCAGUUUUAGUGGAAGCCUGGCAAGUCAGCAUGUUUCAUACCAUAGCGCCAAGGAUCGGUUCAAGAAUGGGUAUGUGAUCCAAGCUGUACAGUGACAGCCCUGAGAAUUUUUAUGGAACCCUUGGGAAGGGGGCUCAUUCAUUUUCCUGGUUACUCAAACGAUAGGAUCUAAGCUGGGGGCUGUUAGGGACUGCCUUGUCACUACUGAGGGAGACUGCCUGAGGAUGAUGUCAUGAUACAGAAGACAGCAUGGAUGAUGGAGUGCCUGAAACCUAUCUCUAGACUUCAUGCCCUGUGAACAAGUAACCUUCACAUUUGGCUUAAGUCAAUUAUGUAUGGUUUCUGCUUCUUGUAGUGAGAUGGGAAGUGUAUAAUUAUUAGAAUUCUAUUACCUUUUUAUUUGUCAGAGUGAGUUCCCUACAAAAUUCUCUUCAUAAUCUUUGUUCUGCUCUCUCGGUCACAAUAGAAACAUUUAGUUUCUCUUUCAUAGCCCUUCUCCAAAGCUUUUCUAGCAGGUUGCAAUCUUUACUUUUUUAGACAGGGUGUCACUAGCUUGCCCAGGCUGGCCCCAAAUUCCAGGGUUUGGGGGAUCUUUUUGUCUCAGCCUCUAGAGUAGCUGGAACUACAGAUGUGCACCACCACACCCAGCACACAAAUCUUACUUUUUGUGUAUAACGUUUACCCAUUGUUUUAUCUGUUCUUAGGAUAAGACAUCUCUUUCCCUCACCAUGAAGGUUCUCUUGCUGUAGACAAGCCAUGAAUUUCCAGUGUUCUUCUCAAUGUGGCUCCCACAUCAGAACCUUGGAUUCCAAGGGUGGCCUGAUUGAACUGAGGUACACAAGGCUACCCUUUCUCUACUAGGAUGAACACUAUCAUACAGUAUAAGAACACAUUCAUAAUUUUAGAAUUUGUGAUGAACAGUUGACACACUGAGGUUAUGGUUAUAUAAAACCAUGGACUAGUUUUCACAACAGUUGCCAGAAGUCAAUGCUGAUGUAUCCUUCACUUAACAACUAGUUACAAACACUGCUUGUCUACAAUGGUCUUGAUCCUUUCCCUGGCUGUGCAACCCCAGGAAAGCUGUUGAAUUACUUUGGGAUCUUGCUUUUCAAGGUAUGGUGCAAGAUCCAGAAGCAUCAGUCUCAUCAGGCAGCCCAUUAGGACUUUUAAGCUCUAUUCCAAACCUACAAAAUGGUAUCUGUAUUCCAGCACAAUAUCUGGGUGACAUAUGCAUAUUAAACUACAGGGAAGAAUUUCCAUGGAUAUGGCUCCUUUUUUCAUUGUGUAGUCAAUUUUUAAGACAGAGUCUUAUUGAGACAUAAGUCACAUACCAUCUAUUCAUCCAAUUUAAGUAUACAAUUUUAUGUUUCUUAUUAUAUAUAUCCACACUUAUGCAAUCUUACCAUCCUCUAAUUUUAGAUAAUUUUUGUCCUCCUUAAUACAGAUUCAGUACCUAUUCAUGUCAAUCUUUAUUCUUCUCCUACCCCCAUCCUAGCCCUAAGCAAUCACUGAUCUAUUUUUCUGUCUCCAUGUGUAUGGCCAUUCUGGACAUUUCAUAUAAAUGGAGUCAUAUACCAUAUCAUCUUUGAUGCUUGACUUCUUCCAUUUAGCAUAAUGUUUUCAAGGUUCAGCAUGUUGUAGCAGGUAUAAGUACUUCAUUUCCUUUUUAUUACCAAAUCAUAUUUCAUUGAAUAGAUGUACCACCUUUGGUUCAUCCAUUCAUCAGCUGAUGAACAUUUGAGUUAACCCUACUUUUUAGCUAUUAUGAGCAAUGUUUCUAUGAACAUUCAUGUCUAAGUUUCUGUAUGGAUGUAUGUUUUCAAUUUUCUUGGGCAUAUUCCUACAGGUAGAAUUUCUGGGCCAUAUAGUAACUCUACCACUUCUCAUUCAAGAAACUACCAAACUGUUAUCCAAAGUGGCUGCAGAAUUUUACAUUCCCACCAACAAUGUACGAGGGUUCUAAUUUCUUCAUUUCUUCACAAACACCAUUUUAAAAAUGGUGGGUACUAAGUGUGAUCUCAUGUGGUUUUGAUUUGCAUUUACCUAGCAAUUGAAGAUGUUGAGCACCCUUUAAUAUGUCUAUUGGACACUGUAUAUUUUCCUUGAAGAAAUGCCUAUCCAAAUCUUUUGCCCAUUUUAAAAUUAGUGUCUUCUUACUAUUUGUUAUAAGAAGUCUUUAUGUAUUAUACAUGAAAGUCCCAUAUAAGAUAUAAUAUUUGCAAUUUUUUUUUCCUAUUUCUAUUUCACUUUCUUGAUGAUGCUUUCUUCUGUGCUUUGGAGCACAAAAGUUUGAAAUUCAUUGCUCAUGCUUUUGAUAUCAGAUCUAAGAAUCUAUUGCCAAAUAUUAAGAUUUAUUAUUAUAUUUUCAUCUAAGCAUUUUAUAAGUUUAAGUUUUUAUAUUUGCAUCAUUGAACCAUUGAGUCGUUUUGCAUAUGGUGUGAGGUAGGGGUCCGACUGCAUUUUCUUACAGGUGGAACUCCAAUUUUGCCAGCACUAGGUGUCAAAAAGACUAUUUUUUCUCCAUUAAUAGACCCUUGUCAAAAAUUGACCAUAAAAGUAAGAGUUUAUUUGUGGACCUGUGAUUCUAUCUAAUUGAUCUAUGUGUUUUGCUCUUAUGAUAGCACCAUGUGGUAUUGAUUACUGAGGCACUAUAAUAAUUUGGAAUUAGGAAAUGUGAGUCUUCCAAUUUUGUUCUUCUUUUUCAAGACUGUUUUGGCUAUUCUAGUUUUCUAAAAUUUCUGCUUGAAUUUUAGAAUUGAUUAGUUAAUUUCUGCAAAAAAAAAAAGAAAGGAAAAGCAGUUGAAUUUUGAUAGGAACUGCAUUAAACCUGUAGGCUCAUUUGGCAAGCAUUAUCUUCUUUAAUAUAUUAAGUCUUCCAAACAAUAAAUGUGGUUUAUGUUUCCAUUUAUUUAGAAAUUACUGAAUUGUUUUUCAAAAAUAAUUUAUAGUUUUCAGCAUGCCAAUCAUUCAAGGGUUGCAUUGCUUUUGUUAAAUAUACACAUAAGUGUUUGUUCUGUCUGAUGCUAUUAUAGAUAGAAUUGUUUUCUUAAUUCCAAUUUUAGAAUGUUCAUUGCAGAAUAAAAAUUCAGUUGACUUUCGUAUAUUGAGCUUGUAUCCUGCCACACUGUCAAAUUUGUAUAUUCAUUCUGAUAGUGUCUUAGGGGGCUCCUUAGGAGUUCUUUAUACAAGACCAUAUCAUCUGCCAAUAGAUUGUUAUUCUUUUCCAAUCUUAAUGUCUUUUAUUUAUGUCUCUUACCUAAUUUUCUGACCAAAGCCUCCAAUAUAAUUUAAAUAAAAGUGAUGAGGAAAGAUAUCCUUACCCUGUUCCUGAUCUUUGGGAACAAGAUUAGUCCUUCACCAUUUAGUAUGAUGCUAACUGUAGGUUUUUCAUGGAUUCCCUUUGUCAGAUAAAAUCCUGUUCUCUUUCUUAUUUUGUUGAGCAGUUUUUCAUCAUGAAUUGGUAUUGAUUUUUAUUAAAUGCCUUUUCUGUGCUUAUUAAAAUAAUCUUAUUGUUUCAGUUCCUCAUUUUAAAAAUAUGGUAUAUAUAUAUAUUAAUUAAUUUUGGGAUGUUAAACCAAUCUUGCAUUUUCAGGACAAAUCUCACUUAUGCAUAAAUGUAUCAUCCUUUCAAAGUGUUGCUAGAUUUUGCCAGUUAGUAUUUCCUUUCAUCUAUAUUGAUGAAGGAUAUUAAGCUGAAGUUUUUUUCUUGUGAGGUCUUCAUUUGAUUUUGAUAUCAGGGUGAUACUAGCUGUAUACAAUACAUUAAAAAGUAUUUCCUCCUCUUCUAAUUUCUGUAAGAAGUUGUAAAAUAUUUUGUAUUAGUUCUUCUUUGAAUAUCUGAUAAAGUUUGCCAGUGAAUCCCUUUGAGUUUGGACUUCUCUUUAUAAAAAGUUUUAAAAUUACUGAUUUGAUUUCUCUCU